AACAAGUUGACUUAGCGCACAGUCACUUUCCAUCCAUUAGAUCCUCAUGCUGUCAAAAGCCUAAAACUCAUGUUUGAAGCACACAUAUAGUGGUUUACAAAUGUGUGGAGAUAAGGUAUUUUCCCAUGACUGCAACGACACAAACCACACUACGUCAAAUGCCUUACUGAAUCAUCAUCCAUAUGAUAAAGCAUCAGGAAAUUUAUCCCACACGAGGAGUAAUGCAGUUGGUUGCUGUAGUUCCAUUAUCACGGUUUUUCAUCAUGAACAUUUCAGUGUGCUUCUUACCAACGAUACCCACAGACAUCUUUGAGCCAAUGCUGGAUUUUGUCCAUCACAGAAGAGGGACUUAACCAACGUUCUGCUCCAUCCUUAUCUUCAAGACUCAUCCAGCUUCACUGCUUCAGUGCUUCUUAUGCUGCUAGUCCUGCUACACAACUUUUCGUGCUUCACUGGCGAGUUGGAUCACUUCCGUUGCUGUGACACACCUGCAGCCAUCACCACGGGAUUAUCGCCAAGUCAUGCAGAGAAGACGUCGAGAAGAUGGACACCAAAACUUCGCCGGUCCAAAAUGUCA